UACGUAGGGGGCAAGCGUUGUCCGGAUUUACUGGGCGUAAAGAGCGUGUAGGCGGCCAAGCAGGUCCGUUGUGAAAACUGGAGGCUUAACCUCCAGACGUCGACGGAAACCGCGUGGCUAGAGUCCGGAAGAGGAGAGUGGAGUUCCUGGUGUAGCGGUGAAAUGCGCAGAUAUCAGGAAGAACACCAAUGGCGAAGGCAGCUCUCUGGGACGGUAUUGACGCUGAGACGCGAAAGCGUGGGGAGCGAACAGG
rnacentral:rRNA from 1 species